GUAGGUGAACCUGCGGAAGGAUCAUUAACACGAUUCAAAAAUUUGUAUAAAAUUUUCGUUUUUUAUUUCAUUAUAGAAAAACCAAUUCUUUUGUCCAAUUUUUCAAUUUUCAUGAAUUUUGUUUGAUUUAUUUCUCUCUAAUUCUUGAUGAUUUUUCAAACCCACCGUGAACUGUUUCUUCUCCCUAGUUUUUUGUUAUGUGAGGUUUUUUGUUUGAGAUAUUUAUUUUAUCUCAUUCGAAUUCUGUAGC
rnacentral:misc_RNA from 1 species